AGUAAAAGUCGUAACAAGGUCUCCGUUGGUGAACCAGCGGAGGGAUCAUUACAGAGUUGCAAAACUCCCACAAACCAUCGCGAAUCUUACCCGUACGGUUGCCUCGGCGCUGGCGGUCCGGAAAGGCCCUCGGGCCCUCCCGGAUCCUCGGGUCUCCCGCUCGCGGGAGGCUGCCCGCCGGAGUGCCGAAACUAAACUCUUGAUAUUUUAUGUCUCUCUGAGUAAACUUUUAAAUAAGUCAAAACUUUCAACAACGGAUCUCUUGGUUCUGGCAUCGAUGAAGAACGCAGCGAAAUGCGAUAAGUAAUGUGAAUUGCAGAAUUCAGUGAGUCAUCGAAUCUUUGAACGCACAUUGCGCUCGCCAGUAUUCUGGCGAGCAUGCCUGUUCGAGCGUCAUUUCAACCAUCAAGCUCUGCUUGCGUUGGGGAUCCGCGGCUGUCCGCGGUCCCUCAAAAUCAGUGGCGGGCUCGCUAGUCACACCGAGCGUAGUAACUCUACAUCGCUAUGGUCGUGCGGCGGGUUCUUGCCGUAAAACUCCCCAUUUCUAAGGUUGACCUCGGAUCAGGUAGGAAUACCCGCUGAACUUAAGCAUAUCAAUAAGCGGAGGAAAAGAAACCAACAGGGAUUGCCCCAGUAACG
rnacentral:rRNA from 1 species